GCGAUGCUACGCGGAGGGACAUUACAGAGCUGCAAAACUCCCUAAACCAUCGUGAACGCUACCUAAACCGUUGCUUCGGCGGGCGGCGCCCUCGCGCGCCCCCCCUGGGGCCCGCACCGCGGGCGCCCGCCGGAGGUACACCAAACUCUUGAUAUGUUAUGGCCACUCUGAGUCUCCUGUACUGAAUAAGUCAAAACUUUCAACAACGGAUCUCUUGGUUCUGGCAUCGAUGAAGAACGCAGCGAAAUGCGAUAAGUAAUGUGAAUUGCAGAAUUCAGUGAAUCAUCGAAUCUUUGAACGCACAUUGCGCCCGCCAGCAUCCUGGCGGGCAUGCCUGUUCGAGCGUCAUUUCAACCCAUCAAGCCCACGGCUUGUGUUGGGGACCUGCGGCUGCCCGCAGGCCCUGAAAACCAGUGGCGGGCUCGCUAGUCACACCGGGCGUAGUAGCAUACGACCUCGCUCAGGGCGUGCUGCGGGUUCCAGCCGUAAAACGACCUUCACAACCCAAGGUUGACCUCGGAUCAGGUAGGAGGACCCGCUGAACUUAAGCAUAUCAAUAGCCGGGAGGAAAGAGCC
rnacentral:rRNA from 1 species